rnacentral:rRNA from 1 species
GUGAGGAAUAUUGGUCAAUGGGCGGGAGCCUGAACCAGCCAAGUAGCGUGAAGGAAGAGUGCCUUACAGGUAAUAAACUUCUUUUCUUCGGGAGUAAUGACACCCACGAGUUGGGUGUAGAGUAAGUACCGAAGGAAUAAGCAUCGGCUAACUCCGUGCCAGCAGCCGCGGUAAUACGGAGGAUGCGAGUGUUAUCCGGAUUUAUUGGGUUUAAAGGGUGCGUAGGCGGGCUAUUAAGUCAGCUGUUAAAGGACUAUGCUCAGCAUAGGAAAUGCAGUUGAAACUGAAAGCCUAGAGAGUACAUAAGGCAGUUGGAAUUUGUGGUGUAGCGGUGAAAUGCAUAGAUAUCACGAAGAACACCGAUAGCGAAAGCAAGCUGCCGGGGUGCGUCUGACGCUGAGGCACGAAAGUGUGGGAAUCGAACAGGAUUAGAAACCCGGGUAGUCC